CGCGGCCUAUCAGCUUGUUGGUGGGGUGAUGGCCUACCAAGGCGACGACGGGUAGCCGGCCUGAGAGGGCGACCGGCCACACUGGGACUGAGACACGGCCCAGACUCCUACGGGAGGCAGCAGUGGGGAAUAUUGCACAAUGGGCGGAAGCCUGAUGCAGCGACGCCGCGUGAGGGAUGACGGCCUUCGGGUUGUAAACCUCUUUCACCCAUGACGAAGCGAGAGUGACGGUAGUGGGAGAAGAAGCGCCGGCCAACUACGCGCCAGCAGCCGCGGUAAGACGUAGGGCGCGAGCGUUGUCCGGAUUUAUUGGGCGUAAAGAGCUCGUAGGCGGCUUGUCGCGUCGAAUGUGAAAUCUCAGGGCUCAACUCUGACAUUGCAUUCGAUACGGGCAGGCUAGAGUUCGGUAGGGGAGACUGGAAUUCCUGGUGUAGCGGUGAAAUGCGCAGAUAUCAGGAGGAACACCGGUGGCGAAGGCGGGUCUCUGGGCCGAUACUGACGCUGAGGAGCGAAAGCGUGGGGAGCGAACAGGAUUAGAUACCCUGGUAGUCCACGCUGUAAACGUUGGGCGCUAGGUGUGGGGGGCCUCUCCGGUUCUCUGUGCCGCAGCUAACGCAUUAAGCGCCCCGCC
rnacentral:rRNA from 1 species